ACCAUUAAACAUGGAAACAACCUCAAGCAAACAAUGGGAAACACUAAUGCAUUUUUCCAGUUGACCAUAGGCAAUAGCCCUCCAAAACAAACCAAGGUAGUGAACCAUAGUACUUCUCCGGAAUGGAAAGAAGGAUUCACAUGGGCAUUUGAUAUACCUCCCAAGGGCCAAAAGCUCCA